UUUUAAAGUAUCUAUGAGAAAACAAAUUAUAAAAAAUUUGGUUAUAGACAAAUUAGUUGACGCAGAAAUUUUAGGUGAAGAGGCUCUUGAACUUAAGGUCGAAAAUGUAGAUGCCUUUAAAUUAAAACAGCUUGAAUUAGAACAUGAAUUUAAAUUAAAACAAGCAGAACUGGAAAUGAAGGAAAGGUUAGAAAUGGAAAAAAAGAAAAGAAGAUGAAUUUAAAUUAAAAGAACUGGAAAUGAAGGAGAGGGAGAAAAUAAAAGAAGAUGAAUUAAAAUUAAAAGAACUUGAAAUGAGAGAAAGGCUAGAGAUGGAAAAACUGAAAAUUGAAAUGGUCAAAGAAGAAAGCAACACUAAAGUCCAGUCAAAAUCAGAUUAUUUUGAUGCAGCAAAAAAUAUACGUUUGGUUCCCAGAUUUUGUGAAAAAACAGUCGAUAAAUAUUUUCCACAGUUUGAGAAAAUUGCUCAAUAAUUUGAAAUGGCCAAAGCCAUAUUGGACUACAAUGCUACAAAGUGUUUUUGAGGGUAAGGCCGCUGAAAUAUACUCCGCACUUCCAUCAGAAAAAAGUUCCGAUUAUGACACGGUGAAAACAGGAAGUUUUGAAAGCUUAUGAGCUAGUACCAGAAGCAUAUAGACAGAAAUUUAGAUCUUAUAAAAAGUUUGAUUCACAAACCUAUGUGGAAUUUGCUCGGGAAAAAG
rnacentral:lncRNA from 1 species